UACGUAGGGGGCUAGCGUUGUCCGGAUUUAUUGGGCGUAAAGCGUGCGCAGGCGGUGAUGUAAGACAGGGGUGAAAUCCCCGGGCUUAACCUGGGAACUGCAUUUGUGACUGCAUUGCUGGAGUGCGGCAGAGGGGGAUGGAAUUCCGCGUGUAGCAGUGAAAUGCGUAGAUAUGCGGAGGAACACCGAUGGCGAAGGCAAUCCCCUGGGCCUGCACUGACGCUCAUGCACGAAAGCGUGGGGAGCAAACAGG
rnacentral:rRNA from 1 species